rnacentral:rRNA from 1 species
CAUGUAGGCGGCAUGACAAGUCUGGUGUGAAAUAUCUCGGCUCAACCGAGAAAACGCACUGGAAACUGUCAAGCUUGAGUAUCGGAGGGGAAGCUAGAAUUCCUGGUGUAGGGGUGAAAUCUGUAGAUAUCAGGAAGAAUACCGGUGGCGAAGGCGAGCCUCUGGCCAGAUACUGACGCUGAGAUGCGAAAGCGUGGGGAGCGAACAGGAUUAGAUACCCUGGUAGUCC